UGGGCUAGAGAUGAGAGUGUCUCAUGAAACAAAGAUGAUAAUUAACCCAAUUCUGUGCAACUGAGAGUCACA
ensembl:snoRNA